rnacentral:rRNA from 1 species
GAUGAACGCUAGCGGCAGGCCUAACACAUGCAAGUCGAGGGGUAGCAGGAUUAAGCUUGCUUAAUUGCUGACGACCGGCGCACGGGUGCGUAACGCGUAUGCAACCUACCUUAUACUGGGGUAUAGCCCGGAGAAAUUCGGAUUAACCCCCCAUAGUACUAAUGAAUCGCAUGGUUUAUUAGUUAAAGCAUUGCGGUAUAAGACGGGCGUGCGUCCUAUUAGCUAGAUGGUGAGGUAACGGCUCACCAUGGCUACGAUAGGUAGGGGGCCUGAGAGGGUGGCCCCCCACACUGGUACUGAGACACGGACCAGACUCCUACGGGAGGCAGCAGUGAUGAAUAUUGGUCAAUGGGCGCAAGCCUGAACCAGCCAUGCCGCGUGCAGGAAGAAUGCCCUAUGGGUUGUAAACUGCUUUUAUUUGGGAAUAAACCUCUUUACGUGUAGAGAGCUGAAGGUACCAAAUGAAUAAGCACCGGCUAACUCCGUGCCAGCCGCCGCGGUAA